GUUUUGACAAAGUGGCAUUGGAGUAUCUCGAGUUCAAGCCCCAAAUGGAGUGAAAUGAAAAAGAAAAAUGAAGAAGAUAGAACAAAAGUUCAUACGUUUCUAUGUAUUCAAUUAAUCCAAAUAUUGAAAGAUGAAACCUAUUUAUGAUGCUAAGAGGCAUGUUUAUCCAUUAAAUAUGCGAAUUAUGCAGAGAACUAAAUAUGCAUUUACUUCUAUUCUGUUUAGUUCACCAUCUAUUCUUAUUACUGCACAAAUAUAAUCAUUCCCUAAAUUAAUUGAAUAUUCUUUCUCUGGUGAAAAU
rnacentral:misc_RNA from 1 species